ACACUCCUACGGGAGGCAGCAGUGGGGAAUUUUGGACAAUGGGCGAAAGCCUGAUCCAGCAAUGCCGCGUGUGUGAAGAAGGCCUUCGGGUUGUAAAGCACUUUUGUCCGGAAAGAAAUCCUUGGCUCUAAUACAGUCGGGGGAUGACGGUACCGGAAGAAUAAGCACCGGCUAACUACGUGCCAGCAGCCGCGGUAAUACGUAGGGUGCGAGCGUUAAUCGGAAUUACUGGGCGUAAAGCGUGCGCAGGCGGUUUGCUAAGACCGAUGUGAAAUCCCCGGGCUCAACCUGGGAACUGCAUUGGUGACUGGCAGGCUAGAGUAUGGCAGAGGGGGGUAGAAUUCCACGUGUAGCAGUGAAAUGCGUAGAGAUGUGGAGGAAUACCGAUGGCGAAGGCAGCCCCCUGGGCCAAUCCUGACGCUCAUGCACGAAAGCGUGGGGAGCAAACAGGAUUAGAAACCCUGGUAGUCCCAUGA
rnacentral:rRNA from 1 species